UACGUAGGGACCAAGCGUUGUUCGGAUUUACUGGGCGUAAAGGGCGUGUAGGCGGACUUGCAAGUCAGGCGUGAAAUCCCUGGGCUCAACCCAGGAAUUGCACUUGAAACUGCAAGCCUUGAGUGUCGGAGAGGAAAGUGGAAUUCCUGGUGUAGAGGUGAAAUUCGUAGAUAUCAGGAGGAACACCGGUGGCGAAGGCGGCUUCUGGACGACACUGACGCUG
rnacentral:rRNA from 1 species